rnacentral:lncRNA from 12 species
AUGCAAAACCUUCAACAAAAUAACUCAAUUUCCAACUGCAUCAGUUUCCUAUCGGUGACCAGCACAGCAAAAGCUCUGUUACCUGAGUCAUUUGUUCAUGCUCGGGUGAGCGGAAGAUGCAAACAGAAGAGGGAAAAUGCAGAGAUCUGCUGUGUAACAUAUAUGACAGUAUAUGCUGCUGCUGAAACAACUCAUGAUAAACUUGUAGUUUAUCUACAAAUGGUCCAAACAGGUCACCAAAUAUCUGUCAAUCUGCUAUGGCUAAACAAUAAAGCAUGGAAAUCUCACAAGCUGUUCCUUGAAUAGAACAGCUUAAGCAAAGCUACAUUAAGAAAAAUGCCAGGUCAGAUCCAGAGAUCCUGCUGAAGCUGAGGUUCAGGCAGAAAGUGCUAUGAUGAAGAGGAACAGCAAUUCAUCAGCGAUCAAGAACAUAGGAUUCCCUCUGGAAAAGUUUAGCAGACAAAAUAUGGAUCUUGGGAAUAAAGGUGAAGUGGAAGAGCACAUUGGGAACCCUCCUUGAAGCACAAAGGUGCAGAUUGUAGUAGGAGAGUAUCAAAAGCUGAAAGAAGUAAGGAAAACAGAAAAAGUGCAAGCUGACAGCAAAAAAAGACAUUGUAAGGGCUAGGGCCCUAGAACUGGAAAUUGUUCUGAGAACAUUUCCUUAGUGAUUUUGCUCUGUGAUUGAAAGCUGUUCUCUUAGAAGACACCUUCCUAGAGGAAACAGCUGUAUUUUGUUAUAUCCAGCUCUUGAAACUUACAUUACCAUUCUCCUAUUAGACUAUAUAUAAAGGCAGAGAUAAAUCAAAAGCUCCCUGCAAGGCAGGGGAACGAGGGAGAUAAGAGAAAAAAGAAAGAUGAUUUCUGUCUGGUUAUUUUCCAAAUGUCUGGUGGGAACAUGCAGCUCUUUUUCAAAAGCUGAGAAUAGGAAUCUUAAAAGACACUGCCAAUUGAGAGGAAAGAAGCUGUGGGCUGAUUUCAGAUUCUGAGAUGCACUGGAAAAGAGUGACUACAAGCAGGCAUUGGCAGGCAUACCAACUAUGGGGGUAAGUUUGGGGAAACACUGAAGUUUACCAUCAGAAGACAAGAUUCCUUACCAGUAACCAGAAGUGGGAAGAUGCAUCGUCAACAGGUCCUUCUGUGCUAAGCUUCACUCACAUGCUGUGUAGUUUCACAAUAAUUUCUCACUGAAUCAAUGCUUACAAGGUGUGCUUGAUGCAUAAAUAAAUCACUGGUGUGUCGUACACCUCAACCAAUACCUCUUAACUGAAGAAGCUCAGAGCUAUCAAAGGGCUACCAGGAGUGAGGAAGAAGGAAAUCAUACGUACAGGGGCGCAACAGUUUUAAAUAAUGUCUAUGCCUCAUCACUUCUUUCAUCUCAUUUGGAUUGUAGGUAAAUUCAAAUUACUGCUUAGCAUCUAACUUUGCUGCUCCAAUUCUGAUUCCACAUCCUCAGGUUUUACAAAAGGCUGUCUAAGAAUCUUUCAGAGAAACGACACAUGGAUGUAUUAGGUACUUAUUUUUUUUCUAUAUUUAUGUUGCCGGAUACAGUUGCCUCAUAGUAAAGAUUUUUCAAAAGUAAACCUUGCACGCUGUUACAUUUUUAUUCAGUAUCCAGAAAAGGAAGCUUUUUGUUUGAAAAGGAGUGAAAUCUUCAGACUGGGGACAUUAUGGGGACAUUACACCCUUGCACGGCUGAGCACACACCAACCUUUAGUAUUGUGAAUGCAAUCUAAAUUCACUUGGGCAGGCCAACACCCAUAUAUUCCUGAAUUCUUGCUUCAUCUUGUCUGUAGUUACACAGGACACUGGCUAAAAGACAGCCAGAAUUUAAAGCCCAUAGUGAAAAAUGGUGCUGCCCACUGUCUCAUGAACCUCCAUUUAGAAAUGGCAAGACAGCAUGAGGUAGAACAAGUAUGACGGCUGCAGCUGUAUUAACACAUGUAACUCAAGUAUUUUAUUCUCCCUCUGCUAAAGCCCCUCUGAUUUAUGAUGUCUGCUUUAAUCUGCUUGCAUUCCACGUAACAUAGCAGCUGCCCCUUAAAAUCUUGAACUAGAAGAGACUGUGAUAAAAACUAUUGAUUAUGUACCUUAAGUCAAUUUUAUAACCACUUUGGCUAGCUACUUGUGGUAUAAGCUCUGUAUGAUAUAUGUCAGAACAAUCUGAUGAUUUUUAAGGUCUCUUCCAACAUAGGCCAUUUUAUGAUUCUAC